AUGGGUAAUCCUCCAGCUAAAGCUACUUAAAUUUGUGCUAUACUGCAUGUACCUUUUUUCACACAGAAAGUUACUCCCCCUGACUGAGUUGGUGAGUUAAAGAAGAAAAAAAGGCGGCUAGCAGCACUGUGAUGGCAGCAUUUCACCUUGCUUGGUUUGUACUGGGUCUUUUUGUCAUCAGCAGAUGGAUGGGAAAUGAAUGGAGAGAGAUGGCUGCCAUGGAUAGUAUUUGCAGAAUUAAGCAGAUGAAUAUCAAAUACCUUUGAUUAGCCACAAAGAGAAUUUACAAGUGGUAAAGGGGAAUGUGCCUGACCUAAAAAGGAGGGGAGAAGAAGCUUCAUAAUGUCUUCUUGAGGUUAAUCAAUGUACCAACAAGGAAUGAUUGCCAAUACAAACCUGCAGAAUGGAGUAUUUGGGGUCAGAAAAGCACUAAAGCUGAGUGGGGUGUUUCCACAUUUUCAAUGACCUUUUCAGCCGAAGUGCCAUGGCGAGGCCAUUUAUACCACCCUCUUCCAUAAAGAUGUAGUGCUACAGCAACUGUGAUCUUCCUGUACUUUGCAAGGGAGAAGACAGCAGCAGAAGAUGAGGAUCCACUUUGCAAAGGCUUUCAUGGUUGUGAAACUGAAGGAACUUGAGUUUAAACCUUCUGUGAAUGACUUUUCCAGAGGUACUGUAUUCCAGUAAAAUCCACUGCCUUGUUUUUUCAUAGGCUGUGUAAUCAAAUAUAAUGACAUCUAUGAUAAUUUGAAAGUUCUGAUGUGCUCAAAAGUGGGGAGAAAGCAUGUUAGAGCUUCUCAGCAUGUCAAUGAGUGACCCCACCACCAAACAGCUGUUAUUUGAUGAUGUGCUGUGGAAAAGCCAGAUAAUUUAUGUCCUUUCUAUCCGAAAUUGUUACACUCCUUUACAUACAUCUCUCUUGAGUCUCCCAAUGGCAUACAAAGCCCAGAGAAAUUACAGUAAAAUCAGCCAUCCAUCCAUCAGCUCAGGCAAAUAAAUUUACUAGUUUAGUCUUUGUUUGCUUUUGCCUUUUGGUUUUUUCUUUCUUAAAUAGAGGAACUGUUAACUCAGUGCUCUGUGAUAGUUUAAUCUCACUGUAGUGAAGAGCUGUGGUAUCACACCUAUCCCCAUUCUUUUCAAUCUUCAUAUUAAAUCUCCUACACACACCCCAAGCAUGAGGGAGAAGAUAGACUGUACAUUGCCAUCCUUCCUAAUGCUCUUCCUCAUUGUCAGUUUUCUUCCACUCUUAAUUCUCCCUCAAGGGUCUAAUGAUAUGACAAGUUUUUCCUGUACACUGAGUCCUUUCCAAAGACCAGCUUCUCUGUCCCAAUAUUUGCUUCUCUCAUUACACUAAGCUUCAGCUGUCUGAUAUCCCUGGAAAUGACACUUUCUAUUAACACAUAAAAGGAAAAAAAAAAGAAAAAAAAGUGGGGUACUGGUGGCUUACCUGUCAUUAUGACUUUGACAAAGAAAACUACAAAUCAAAGAGAUUUUAGUACUUGGAUUGGCUAUUUUAGGGGUGAUAUGGUUUGAAGCUGGCUCCCUGCCAAGUCUCCAAACCCUACCAGAAGAG